CUGCCUGGCACCUGGACUUCGUGGUCCCUUCCAGGCCACACCUUCUCCUGCUGUAUGGAAGCUGUGUUGAAGUUAUGAGUGAACAGGGCAGCACAGACCGCAGGACACGGGUGCUCCAGGCACCCAAUGGGCUGGACACAAAGGAAAGCAACACUGAUGUCAUGAGAAGGAAACACAGAACCAGAGCUGUGCAAAGCAUUCACAAUAAAACACCUAACCAUGGAAAACUUGCCUCAUCUGCAGCUCUGCUAACAAAAAAAUUCCGACCAGGUUUGUGAGAAUAUUAACAAAACUUGUGAGGAGAAAUGCGUCUGAGCCGUAAAGUAGGAGUAUAUAUUUUGAACAUCCCAGGGACUGGCAGCACUCACAUGUAAAGAUUUCACUUGGUCCUUCUUGAAGAUGAAUUCCUGUUACAUUUUUCCUGAUAAAGAAGGUUUUUGUGUUCUUCU
ensembl:lncRNA